UCACUGCAACCUCCGCUUCCCAGGUUCACACGAUUCUCCUGUCUCAGCCUCCAGAGCAGCUGGAAUUACAGUUCUACUCCUGAGUGCUCCCUUCAGCCUACUCCACGAAGUGAUGACAACUUUAAUUAAUAUUCCCUCUCCAAAUCCCUUCAACAUUUACCUGAUGCUGGGUUGUAAUCCAUCAGUUUGUCUGGAAUGUGACAUGGAGAUACGGAGUCCUGGAAGACUGACCUGGGGCCCAAACAUGAUCCUCAAACCAGUUUGUUGUUUGAAUUUCUUCUCAGCCCUCUUUAACAUCAACCCAGCUCUCUCUGACCUACUGAAGGGUCAACCUCAAGAAACCAACUCCAACUGAUGGCCAUCCAUAGAAUACAUAGCUCUUCAGGGAGCUUUCAUGCCAUUACUGCCUCACUCUCAUACUUCCGUUUAAGCCUCCGAGAUUCAAAAUAAUUAGCCUCUACUGCUGCCAACAUGUCCAGGGAAAAAUAACCAGAGGGACUAGAAAAUGAGUAUGCCACAGAAGAAAUCAAGAAAAUGUUUCUAACAAAAUACAAACUUUGGGCAUGUAAGUUUGGAGAGUCAUCUAAGAAGAAAGAAAAUUAAUUCAAGCAAGACUAAAUCUCAUGGUUGCCAAGAUGAUUUUUUUCAUUAUACUUUAAGUUCUGGGAUACAUGUGCAGAACAUGCAGGUUUGUUACAUAGGUACACACAUGCCAUGGUGGUUUGCUGCACCCAUCAACCCGUCAUCUACAUUAGGUGUUUCUCCUAAUGCACCCCACCCUCUAACAGGCCCCAAUGUAUGAUGUUCCCCUCACUGUGUCCAUGUGUUCUCAUUGUUCAACUCCCAUUUAUGAGUGAGAAUAAGGAGUGUUUGGUUUGCUGUUCCUGUGUUAGUUAAUGAGACUCAUGGCUUCCAGCAUAAUCCAUGUCCCUGCAAAGAACAUAAACUCAUUCUUUUUUAUGGCAGCAUAGUAUCCCAUGGUGUAUAUGUGCCACAUUUUCCUUAUCCAGUCUAUCACUGAUGGGCAUUUGGGUUCCAAGUCUUUGCUAUUGUAAAUAGUGCUGCAAUAAACAUAUAUGUGCGUGUGUCUUUAUAGUGGAAUGUUUUAUAAUCCUUUGGGUAUAUAUCCAGUAAUGGGAUUUCUAGGUCAAAUGGUAUUUCUGGUUCUAGAUCCUUCAGAAAUCACCACACUGUCUUCCACAAUGGUUGAACUAAUUUACAUACCCACCAACAGUGUAAAAGCAUUCCUAUUUCUCCACAUCCUCUCCAGCCUCUCUUGUUUCCUGACUUUUUAAUGAUCACCAUUCUAACUGGCAUGAGAUGGUAUCUCAUUGUAGUUUUGAUUUGCAUUUCUCUAAUGACCAAUGAUGAUGAGCUUCAUUUCAUAUGUUUGUUGACCACAUAAAUGCCUUCAUGCCUUCUUUUGAGAGGUGUCUGUUCAUAUUCUUCACCCACUUUUUGAUGGGGUUGUUUUUUUUCUUGUAAAUUUGUUUAAGUUAUUUGUAGAUUCUGGAUAUUAGUCCUUUGUCAGAUGGAUAGAUUGCAAAAAUUUUCUUCCAUUCCGUAGGUUAACUGUUCACUCUGAUGAUAGUUUCUUUUGUUGUGCAGAAGCUCUUUAGUUUAAUUAGAUCCUAUUUGUCUAUUUUGGCUUUUGUUGCCAUUGCUUUUGGUGUUUUAGUCAUGAUGUCUUUGACCAUGCCUAUGUCAUGAAUGGUAUUGUCUAUGUUAUCUUCUAGAGUUUUUAUGAUAUUGGGUCUUACAUUUAAAUCUUAAUCCAUCUUGAGUUAAUUUUUUUAUAAGGUGUAAGGAAGGGGUCCAGUUUCCGUUUUCUGCAUAUGGCUAGCCAGUUUUCCCAAAACCAUUUAUUAAAUAUGAAAUCCCUUCCCCAUUGCUUGUUUUUGUCAGGUUUGUCAAAGAUCUGAUGGUUGUAGAUGUGUGGCAUUAUUUCUGAGGCCUCUGUUCUGUUCUAUUGGUCUAUAUAUCUGUUUUGGUAUCAGUACCAUGCUGUUUUGGUUACUGUAUCCUUGUAGUAUAGUUUGAAGUCAGGUAACAUGAUGCCUCCAGCUUUGUUAUUUUUGCUUAUGAUUGUCUUGGCUAUACGGGCUCUUUUUUGGUUUCAUAUGAAAUUUAAAGUAGUUUUUUUCUAAUUCUGUGAAGAAAGUCAAUAGUAACUUGAUGGGGAUAGCAUUGAAUCUCUAAAUUACUUCAGGCAGUAUGUCCAUUUUCACGAUAUUGAUUAUUCCCAUCCAUGAGCAUGGAAUGUUUUUUCAUUUGUUUGUGUCCUCUCUUAUUUCCUUGAGCCGUGGUUUGGAGUUCUCCUUGAAGAGGUCCUUCACAUUCCUUGUAAGUUGUAUUCCUAGGUAUUUUAUUCUCUUUGUAACAAUUGUGAAUGGGAGUUUACUCAUGAUUUGGCUGUUUGUCUAUUAUUGGUGUAUAGGAAUGCUUGUGAUUUUUGCAAAUUGAUUUUGUAUCCUAAGACUUUGCUGAAGUUGCUUUUCAGCUUAAGGAGAUUUAGGUCUGAGACGAUGGGGUUUUCUAAAUAUACAAUCAUGUCAUCUGCAAACAGAGACAAUUUGACUUCCUGCCUUCCUAUUUGAAUACACUUUAUUUCUUUCUCUUGCCUGAUUGCCCUGACCAGAACUUCCAAUACUAUGUUGAAUAGGAGUGGUGAGAGAGGGCAUUCUUGUCUUGUGCUGGUUUUCAAAGAGACUGCUUCCAGCUUUUGCCCAUUCAGUAUGAUAUUAGCUUUGGGUUUGUCAUAAAUAGCUCUUAUUAUUUUGAGACACGUUCCGUCAAUACCUAGUUUAUUGAGAGUUUUUAGCAUGAAGAGGUGUUGAAUUUUAUUGAAGGCCUUUAAAAUAAACAACCUGACAUCACAAUUAAAAGAACUAGAGAAGAAAGAUCAAACAAAUUCAAAAGCUAGCAGAAGACAAGAAAUAACAGAUCAGAGCAGAGAUGAAGGAGAUAGAGACACAAGAAACCGUUCAAAAAAUCAAUGAAUCCAGGAGCUGGUUUUUUGAAAAGCUUAACAAAAUAGACCACUAACUGGACUAAUAAAGAAGAAAACAGAGAAGAAUCAAAUAGACACGACAAAAAAUGAUAAGGGGGAUAUCACCACUGAUCUUACAGAAAUACAAACUACCAUCAGAGGAUACUAUAAAUAACUCUAUGCAAAUAAACUAGAAAAUUUAGAAGAAAUGGAUAAAUUCCUGGACACAUACAUCCUCCCAAGACUAAACCAGGAAGAAAUCUAAUCCCUGAAUAGACCAAUAACAAGUUCUGAAAUUCAGGCAGUAAUUAAUAGCCUACCAACCAAAAAAGAAGCCCAGGAUCAGACAGAUUCACAGCCGAAUUCUACCAGAGGUACAAAGAGGAGCUGGUACUAUUCCUUCUGAAACUAUUCCAAACAAUAGAAAAAGUCGGAAUCUUCCCUAACUCAUUUUGUGAGGCCAGCAUCAUCCUGAUACCAAAACCUGGCAGAGACACAACAAAAAAAGAAAAUUUCAGGCCAAUAUCCCUGAUGACAUCGAUGUGAAAAUCCUCAAUAAAAUACUGGCAAACCGAAUCCAGCAGCACAUCAAAAAGCUUAUCCACCAUAAUCAAAUCGACUUCAUCCCUGGGAUGAAAGGCUGGUUCAACAUACACAAAUCAAUAAACGUAAUCCGUCACUUAAACAGAGCCAAUGUCAAGGUGAUUUUUUAAAUAUGGAUUAUGAAAUAGGUAAAUUUUUCCUUCACAUGUACUUAUUAUUCUGAUAAAGAUAUGACAACUUCAUGCACUCGUUAAAAUAAUGUAAGUUUAAAAUAUGAUUUUUUUUUCCUAUUUCUUCCUAUAGUGUUUCCUCAUUCUCACUUAAUGUAUUGUAUAAGAUACUUCACAAACAUAAGACAUAUUGAUUCAUUGGAUAACAUUGUCACUAUAUAAAUUAGGAAAAUACAUUUUCAUUAUUCAUAUUUAGCUGAUGACAAUUCCAAAACUGAGAAAAUCAAAGUUUCUCAAGAUUACAGACAGGUAGACUAGGAACACAAACCAAUGCUUCCAAAUUUGAUCUAGUUUUUCCUCCUCCAAGUUAUUGAGCAUAACUAAUCUAGGCCCCUCAGAGUGAAGGUUGAAAUUGUAAUUCAACAUAUAUUCUGGCCCACUAUCUCCAUUAUAUUAGCCUUUUUUUUCUGUUACAAUCUUUCUGGAAUAGUAGGAAAAAUAAUAGACAUGAAAAUGCUAAGACUGUGUAUAAAUACUUAAUCGUCUUCUUGGACAGAUAAGCUUAAAUACCAGACUUUGCAUUUCUUUAUUUUAAAAAGUAUACUUAUCAAAACCACUAAAUUAACUUGCUCUCAAAUAAAUAAUACGAAGCAAGGUUUUUGAAAGCAUUUCAUAUCAGGCUUCAGAAAUGAACCCAAAUGUGUAUGGAGAUUUACUUUAUCAUGAAGGAGUAAUUUCAUAUCAUUACGUAAAGGCAGAACGUUUCAAUGGAGUGUGUGUGUGCUAACUGAUUUAAAAUCAGGAAAAAAAUAAAUAAAUUCCUAUCUUUAAUUUCAAAACAAUAAAAAUUUAAAUGUAGAAAUAUUAGGCAAAAGACCUAAGAUCACUUAAAGGCCUUAAAUUAUUGAUGUAUUUGAUACAUAAAAGUAUUCACUUGACACAAAUUUGCACAUAUUCAUUCAGAAGUGGGUGUACAAAGACCUUUGUUGCAGUGUUGUUUGCAUUAGCAAAAAGCUACACAUCUCAUAAAUGACUACCAGUCCUGAAGUUGUUAAACACAUCUUCAUAAUGUAAUAUUUUGCAUUUAUUAAAAAUAGCGAGGCAAGUCUGUAGUUAGAGAAUUGAUAUAUUUAAGGAGAAAAAAGUUACAAGAUGGUAUUUAUAAGAUGACACAGGAUGUUAUCUCUCUACUAACCUAUCAAUAUGCAUAUAUAAAUAAAUGUAUCUAUUAAAACACAUGAACACAUACACAACUACCCCACAUACACUAAUAUGUGUAAAGAAUAUCUUCAGAAAAGUGAAAAAUGGCAAAUAGUGAGAUGGAGUAAGGAGUGGAAGAGGGAUGUGUUUGCACCAUAAAUAUCUUUAUUGGGUAUAUUUCUUGUCAUAUUUUUUACAUUUUUUGAAUUUGUAACAAUAAUGAGCACAAAACAACAGCAUUAUGAUGACCUUCCUGGGAAGUUUCCUGAGGAGGGCAUGUAGAGCAUAAUUCCAUUAUGAAAAAAAUGUGCUUAGAGUAUGAAAUGAAAUAAACCAACAUCUUACCUAAUCAGAUUAUCUUCAAUAUUCAUCUCUUUAUUUUUAAAAUUUUAUGGUUUUAUUUUUUUUAUUGAUAUAAAUGGUUUCUUUAUUUGUAGAAUUACACUUAAAAUUAUUUUGAAGCAGCAUGAACUCUCUCUGGAUGGUAUUAGAAUUUCAUACCCAAAUAAACUUGAACAUUACUUUUUUAAAAUUUUAUUAUUAUUAUACUUUAAGUUUUAGAGUACAUGUGCACAACGUGCAGGUUUGUUACAUAUGUCUACAUGUGCCAUGUUGGUGUGCUGCACCCAUUAACUAAUCAUUUAGCAAUAGGUAUAUCUCCUAAUGCUAUCCCUGCC
rnacentral:lncRNA from 10 species